AACGAACGCUGGCGGCAUGCCUAACACAUGCAAGUCGAACGAGACCGUCGGGGAUAGUUGCGCACUGGUGCGUAACGCGUGGGAACCUGCCCUUAGGUGCGGAAUAAAUCCGCGAAAGACGUGGUAAUACCGUAGAAUGUCUUCGGACCAAAGAUUUUGCGCCUCUGGCUAGGCCUGCGUUGGAUUGUCUAGUUGGUAGGGUAAAAGCCUACGAAGGCGAAGAUACAUAGCUUGUCUGAGAGGAUGAUCAGCCACCAUGCGACUGAGACACGGAGCAGACUCCUACGGGAGGCAGUAGUCGGGAAUCUUAGCCAGUGAGCGAAAGUCUAGGACAGCAAUGCUGUGUGAGGGAAGAAGGUCUUAGGGUUGUAUAGCUCUUUUAACCGGGAUGAUAAUGACAGUACCGUAAGAAUAAGCACCGGCUAACUCCGUG
rnacentral:rRNA from 1 species